rnacentral:rRNA from 1 species
GUGUGCGGCCAUACUUCCCUGAUCUCGCGGGAUCUCAUCUGAUCUCGCGAAGCUAAGCAGGCGGGGGCCUGGUUAGCUCUCGGGUGGGAGAGAUGACCCGAAUCGCCGUCGAGG